ensembl:lncRNA
AAACAAGGACUUAGGAAAAUUGCAAUUGGCUCAGAACAGGGCAGCACGGCUGGUCCUUGGAUGUACACAGAGAGCUAACAUUAAUAAUAUGCAUGUCAAUCUCUCCUGGCUCAAAGUGGAAGAAAGAUUGAGUUCAUCACUGCUUGUAUUUGUAUUGACAUGUUAAAUGCACCGAGCUAUCUGUCUAAACUACUGGCACACAGCUCGGACACUCAUGCAUACCCCACAAGACAUGCCACAAGAGGUCUCUUCACAGUCCCCAAGUCCAGAACAGGCUAUGGGAGGCACACAGUACUACAUAGAGCCAUGACGACAUGGAACUCUAUUCCACAUCAAGGAACUGACACAAGCAGUAAAAUUUGAUUUAAAAAAAACACCUUAUGGAACAGCGGGGACUGUGAAGCAACACAAACACUGGCACAGACACAUGCAUACACACACACUAACAUACGCACUGUACAUACACAUGGAUUUGUUUUAGUAGAUAUGUUUUAGUGGUGGAGUAGGGGCCUGAGGGCACACAGUGUGUUGUGAAAUCUGUGAAUGUAUUUAAAAUUGUAUAAACUUUCUUAAUUUUGCUGGACCCCAGGAAGAGUAGCUGCUGCUUUGGCCAUUCCAAUAGCUCCGUUCCAGCCGUUAUUAUGAACCGUCCUCCCCUCUGCAGCCUCCACUGAUAUCUGCACAUCAAAUUCAGCAAUGUUAGAUCAACAACAGGAUCUUCGAAUUGCAGUGCUACUACUCUGAUCAAGCCACCAAAACAAGCAACCAUGCAGCCUUAUUUCACUGCCAAGCCGAGAUUUAGCUGAAAUAUGCCACCUCAUGGAAGGCUGGUACGUAGGAUCAAAAAUAUCUGUAGAGUUCAAAAGGUACUCCACUCAAGACCAUGAAAAGGCAAAACCCAAGGAGGCCGAAAUGCAAAAAUAAUGGGUAAAAUUGGUAAUAAUUUUAAGAGCAGUUGGGAGGAAAAGUUUAAUUUCCAAAAGUUUUAAGUGCUCAAAACCAUUCGUUUUGAGACAGGGGUAUCACCAAAGCUAUAUUUUUAUUAGGUAUGUUGUAACUAAUUUCCAAAGAUGCAUGACAAUCUCAAAACAUUUUUCAACAAAUUACAAUGACAACAACCGUGGCCAUUUGCAUGACAAUCGUUACCCAAAAUUCCAUAAUCGUCACAGCCCUACAUCUGGUGGACAUCGGGCAUUAUACCUUCGUCACUGCUAUCAACAGUAUGCCCCUUUAUUUUUUUAUAGCACCUUGCACUUUCACCCUUCGUAUUCUUUUGAGCAUGGAUUCAAUUAAGUGAUAUGAGUUUUAUAUGUCAUUAUAAACUGGGUGGUUCAAGCCCUGAAUGCUGAUUGGCUGACAGCCAUGGUAUAUCAGAUCGUAUACAACGGGUAUGACAAAGCAUUUAUUUUGACAACUCUAACUACGUUGGUAACCAGUUUUAUAAUAGUAAUAAGGCACCUCUGGGUUUUGUGGUAUAUCGCUAUACCAUGGCUAAGAGCUGUAUCCAGGCACUCAGCAAGGCUGGUGCCAAAGAAGCUGUGGUAUAUUGACCAUAUACCACCCCCCCCCUCCCCCUCCCCCGUGCCUUAUUGCUUAAUUAUAUAAUGACUCUUUUGUUGUUUUUUUAAUACAGCCCUUGCCUGAUGUUGGGAUAUGGAUUCCCAUGCAAGAAACCCAAAUAAUAAACCCUAAAACCCACCAGCAGGUGGUCGCUAUAAAGGUGUCCUAUACAUAGAUUUGGUUUGCUCCUAGCAGAACUCGGCAAAGUGGAGCCAACGUCUGUGCGUGCAUACUCCCUAAAGACCUAAGCUUGAAAAAUGAGUAAAACCCUAAACCCCACCAGCGGGUGGUCCCUAUAAAGGUGUCCCAUACAUACAGUUUGCUUCAAGAACUCGGCAAGGCGAACGUUUGUGCUCACAUACCGCCUAAAGACCUUCGCUUGAAAAAACGAGAGAAUAAGUGACAAUAUUAUUGUUUGUUCCUCUUGAGCCACCGUAACAACAGCCAUGCAUUUUCUCUAAAUAUUCUGAAUUAAUCUAAGAUAAAUCAAGAAAUCUGUAAUUAAUUUAGACAUUUUUGCUGAGAUCUUUGCAGACCAGCUAGCUGUUGUGUUUUCAGACAUUUUCAAUCUCUCUCUAACUCAGGCUGUUUUCCCACCUGCUUCAAGAUGUCCACUAUCAUGCCCAAGAGCGGGAAAGGGAACUGAAUGCCUUGAAGUGCACCUCCUCCCUCCCUGACACACUAGCCCCUUUCCAAUUCGCCUACCGCCCUGACAGAUCCACAGACGACGCAGGAGGCUGAAGAAAUUUGGCCUGUCCCCAAGGGCCCUCAAGUGUUCUACAGGAGCGCCAUCGAGAGCAUACUGUCAGGCUGCAUCACAGCCUGGUACAGCAACUCCACUGACGGAGUAUAGUACACUCAGGUGAACGCAUCAUUGGGUGCUCACUGACUGUCCUCCAAGACACCGACAACACCAGGUGUUGCAGGAAGGCCAAGAAGAUCAAGGACCAAAGCCACCUGUGCCACGGCCUGUUGUCCCCGCUUCCAUCACUCAGACGCGGGCAGUAUAGGAGUUUCACGGCAAAAACUGUCAGACUGAUCAAUAGCGUCUACCCCCAGACCAUCAGGCUGCUGAAUAGCCACUAGUCAGCUACCUGCUCCCCCUAUGGCAAUCCCCCCCCAUGGAUAUUUAUCAUUGUUACAGUUGUAAAUGUGUAUAUAUGCUUAUUAUUUGUAUUGUCUCAUUCAUUUCUAUUUUUUUACCUGCACUUUUGAAUCUCAGAGCAUAAUAAUUUAAUUGUACCCUGCAACUACAUCCAUGAUCCUGUGCAUGUGACUAAUAAACUAAUCUAAGUGCAGUACUUCUCAACUGAAGAAAUGUGCAUGAAAAUGUAGUGCACUGCAGACAGUAGGGCCUAGCUGCUCCUCUCGUUGAAUGGCAGCAAACACUUAAUCGAAGAAUACUGUCCAUAGUUCCCACCCCUACUGUUGACCAACUGCUACCAAACUUUGACUUGCCUCAAUAAAAAACAAUGUUGUUGCUUA